rnacentral:ncRNA from 1 species
GUGCAUGAGCCGGUGUCCGAUCCUCAUCCUGCUCAGCUGUCAGAUUUGCAUCCAACUCCUGCUUGCUAUAGCUAUUGGCAGUGAGAGAUGCAAGUCUCGCUGGGCAGGCUCUGUAGAUUGGUCUGAAAUUAUACGGUUUGAACUUGAUCUGGAUAAUACCAGCGAAAGGAUCAUGCGUUUCCCUCUU